rnacentral:rRNA from 1 species
GAGCCCGCACAAGCAGUGGAGUAUGUGGUUUAAUUCGAUGCAACGCGAAGAACCUUACCAGAACUUGACAUCCUGAGAAGACCGAUGUAAUGUUGGUUGUGCCCCUUCGGGGGAAUUCAGUGACAGGUGGUGCAUGGUUGUCGUCAGCUCGUGUCGUGAGAUGUUGGGUUAAGUCCCGCAACGAGCGCAACCCUUACCUUUAGUUGCUACGCAAGAGCACUCUAGAGGGACUGCCGUUGACAAAACGGAGGAAGGUGGGGAUGACGUCAAAUCAUCAUGCCCCUUACGUUCUGGGCUACACACGUACUACAAUGGCGCAAACAAAGGGAAGCAAUGCCGCGAGGCGGAGCAAACCCCAUAAAAGGCGUCCCAGUUCAGAUUGCAGGCUGCAACUCGCCUGCAUGAAGUUGGAAUUGCUAGUAAUCGCGGAUCAGCAUGCCGCGGUGAAUACGUUCCCGGGCUUU